rnacentral:lncRNA from 1 species
GAGCCUUAUUCAUUGUACAGGGCUUUUCUUAAAUCUUUAAACCCUGCUGGGUAACCUUGAGAGGGAGGUUGUCCCUGUUCGAGGGAUCUGUGCUGGAGGUCUGGGGCCAGGCUGGGAGCAGCCAGCCCAAUCCAUGAGCAUUUGCACCACGGGGGAAGCUGGGAGCAGCUCACAGCCUGGUUUUUGCUGGCAACAACAGCCGUUGUGUUUUGACGAGUUAAUAAACAUCUCCCCCAGGAGCGAGGGAGCUCCAGCAUGCUCUGCUUCACCGUGUUUUACUGUCUGACUAACAGAGUUUGCCGAGCAAGAGGUGUUUUUCUAAUCUGAGAACUCGGUGGCUCACGUUUCCCACCUCUCCCAGGAGCUGCUGCGCUUCCCUGCUGAUACCGUGAUGCUUCUGUUAUCUCCUGGAGGGCAACCCAGCCCUUUCUGCCACCCCCAAUCCCAAGUUGUCCCUUGGAUCCCGUGCCUUGGAGCCGUUUAUCAGCCUUGGAAGCUGAGAUAGCAGUGCUCAUCCCGCUCCGUGACCCGCGCGCUCCCGCGGGAUCCCUGCGCUGACGGGAUCCCCUUCAGCGCUGGAAGUGCCACCAAAACCACCAGCCACCG